CUGAAGCGCAAAAUGGGAGUAUUAACAAUGGAACUGGAGAAGGGAAUAACCAGCAAUACAUGACGACGAAUUCGCUUUAUGUUGGGGAUUUGGAUUUGAGUGUGAUCGAAACUCAGCUCUAUGAGUAUCUCUCACAAAUGGUUCUAUUAACGAAAACCUUAAGGUACGAGAUUG